UCGGCAGAGAGAGAAUUUAAUAACUAGAAUACAACAUAACAAAAUUACAUUCCCUAACUAAUGAGAUCAGAUGUAUGGCACCACCCCUUUGGAGAAGAAAAAAAAAAAAAACACAUCGAAAACUAUGAAUGGAAAUCAUUCACAAAUAUUGUUUCCCUCUAAAUUGCAUUCACAGUAUUCUCAAUCACCUCUCGGAUUCGAAUCCAUACAAUCUUCUGGAUAUGCUUCAUCAGACAGCCUUCUCAAAUUUUCCCCAUUGGUUUGUGAAUGUAAACAAGAAGCAAAACUAGACUGUCUCUCACACAUCAAGUUUGCAAGUCCAUUUUGCUUAAUAUAAUUGUCAAAUGGUUCAUCAAUGUUCAUCAUGCUCAAUCCUGGUACAUCCACCUGCAUUUCCUCGCGGUUAGGAUGACAAUUUAGGUCUAUUUGUCCAGCACUGGUUUC
rnacentral:misc_RNA from 1 species